rnacentral:rRNA from 1 species
AUGAUAAAUGCCUUAAAGGAGCAAUCCGCUUUGAGAUGGGCCCGCGUCGCAUUAGCUAGUUGGAGGGAUAAAAGCCCCCCAAGGCGACGAUGCGUAGCCGACCUGAGAGGGUGAACGGCCACAUUGGAACUGAGAUACGGUCCAGACUCCUACGGGAGGCAGCAGUGGGGAAUAUUGCACAAUGGGGGAAACCCUGGGGA